rnacentral:rRNA from 1 species
ACGGAGGGGGCUAGCGUUGUUCGGAAUUACUGGGCGUAAAGCGCACGUAGGCGGAUCAGUCAGUCAGGGGUGAAAUCCCGGGGCUCAACCCCGGAACUGCCUUUGAUACUGCUGGUCUUGAGGUCGAGAGAGGUGAGUGGAAUUCCGAGUGUAGAGGUGAAAUUCGUAGAUAUUCGGAGGAACACCAGUGGCGAAGGCGGCUCACUGGCUCGAUACUGACGCUGAGGUGCGAAAGCGUGGGGAGCAAACAG